CCUAGCUGCGAUAGCGCGGUGUGGUCCCACCUAAUUCCAUGCCGAACUCAGCAGUAAAACGCGGUAGCGCCGAUGGUAGUGCGGGGGCCCCCACACGCGAGAGUAGGACACUGCCAGGC
rnacentral:rRNA from 1 species